rnacentral:rRNA from 1 species
AGCGAACGCUGGCGGCAGGCCUAACACAUGCAAGUCGAACGAGACCUUCGGGUCUAGUGGCGCACGGGUGCGUAACGCGUGGGAACCUGCCCUUAGGUUCGGAAUAACUCCCCGAAAGGGGUGCUAAUACCGGAUAAUGUCUUCGGACCACAGAUUUAUCGCCUUUGGAUGGGCCCGCGUUGGAUUAGCUAGUUGGUGGGGUAAAGGCCUACCAAGGCGACGAUCCAUAGCUGGUCUUAGAGGAUGAUCAGCCACACUGGGACUGAGACACGGCCCAGACUCCUACGGGAGGCAGCAGUGGGGAAUAUUGGACAAUGGGCGAAAGCCUGAUCCAGCAAUGCCGCGUGAGUGAUGAAGGCCUUAGGGUUGUAAAGCUCUUUUACCAGGGAUGAUAAUGACAGUACCUGGAGAAUAAGCUCCGGCUAACUCCGUGCCAGCAGCCGCCGUAACAC